rnacentral:tRNA from 1 species
GGGCCGGUAGCUCAAUUGGCAGAGCGUCGGACUCUUAAUCCGGCAAGUGUAGGUUCGAUUCCUACCCGGUUCA